rnacentral:tRNA from 1 species
CAUUAAGAAGCUAUGCAACAGCACUAGCCUUUUAAGCUAGCUAAAGAGGAGUCACUCCCUCCUUAAUGA